rnacentral:ncRNA from 1 species
AUCUGCAAAGGGCAAACUCCGCGAAAGUGGAGGACGCAAAGUCAACGGUCUAAAGGGCGCGAGCCCCAUGACGGCAGGACUGCCAGA